rnacentral:lncRNA from 1 species
AUUUAAGCUAAUUUAUUAGGUUAAUGAAUUUAUAGUUACGAGAAUUGUAUAAAAUAUACUAACUAAUUCUGUAAGAAUAAACAAGGCAUUUAAAUUUUGAAAUGAAAGUGUAGUGACUGACUCAAAUCAAAUAAAUUGAAAAGUUAUAAAAUUAAAUAGUCAAUUUAAAAUAAUUCAUAGUUCAAGUAAGUUACGUAAGUUUAGGUUGGUUUGAACCUAUAAAUAAUCU